rnacentral:rRNA from 1 species
AGACGGAUAACCUCGGGAAACUGAGGCUAACCCGUCAUAUCGCUUCCGAGCUGGAGUGCUGGAAGCGAGAAACGCUCCGGCGCCGGAGGAUGCGGCUGCGGCCGAUUAGGUAGACGGUGGGGUAACGGCCCACCGUGCCGAUAAUCGGUACGGGUUGUGAGAGCAAGAGCCCGGAGACGGACUCUGAGACAAGAGUCCGGGCCCUACGGGGCGCAGCAGGCGCGAAACCUUUACACUGCACGACAGUGCGAUAGGGGGACACCGAGUGCGAGGGCAUAGAGCCCUCGCUUUUCUGUACCCUAAGGUGGUACAGGAACAAGGGCUGGGCAAGACCGGUGCCAGCCGCCGCGGUAACACCGGCAGCCCGAGUGAUGGCCGAUAUUAUUGGGCCUAAAGCGUCCGUAGCUGGCCGGGGAAGUCCGUCGGGAAAUCCACUCGCUCAACGAGUGGGCGUCCGGCGGAAACUCUCCGGCUUGGGACCGGAAGACCGAAGGGGUACGUCCGGGGUAGGAGUGAAAUCCCGUAAUCCUGGACGGACCACCGGUGGCGAAAGCGCCUUCGGAGGACGGAUCCGACAGUGAGGGACGAAAGCUAGGGUCUCGAACCGGAUUAGAUACCCGGGUAGUCCUAGCCGUAAACGAUGCUCGCUAGGUGUGGCGCAGGCUACGAGCCUGCGCUGUGCCGUAGGGAAGCCGUGAAGCGAGCCGCCUGGGAAGUACGUCCGCAAGGAUGAAACUUAAAGGAAUUGGCG